CCUAGCUGGUUUCCUCUCCUUUUCUUCUUCCUCCAUUGCUAAGAUUGGAUCUUGAUGCAGGUGCAUGUUGGUCCAAGCAUGGAGGAGGUUGAGCAAUCCUCAGAUCUGAAGUUCUUGAGCAAAAUCCAAAUCGAGUGAUUCAAAGUUCCACAGAUAGGUAUUGAAAAUAUCUACAACUUGGCGUUGGUCUCAUCCUCAAAUUCGUUACGGAUUUUGCAUGAUCAAUAUCUGGUCAGAUCUGACUUUGUCGAAUUAAACCAGGAGCUUGGAAACGAAUUUUUGAAUGAAACCAACUGGAUGCGAACAAUUCCGGAGAAGAAGAAGAAGUGGAAUCGGACGAGGAUUUUAUUUAUAUUGUUGGAAUUCUUAUUUGAUGGAGUUGGAGAAGUCCAGGGACAAACAAGCCAACCAAGGCAAGCCAUCUUUUGAUCUCUUGCUAUUUAUCCUUCUUGUUGUGCUCAUUGCUCCAUUAUAUACUUGGUUCCUUGUAUCAUGGGUGAUUUUUGGUCCUCUACUCUAUGCAUACUUAUUCCCAAAGUAUGUUGAACCCCUUGUUGAUGCUUUGCAUACUUGCUCCCAAGUAUGUGAACCCCCUUGUUGAUGUUAUGCAUGCUUACCCUAAGCAUGUAUGCCCCUUGACCAUAUCCAUGUUGUCA